AUUGAACGCUGGCGGCAGGCCUAACACAUGCAAGUCGAGCGAGCGGCGGACGGGUGAGUAAUGUCUGGGAAACUGCCUGAUGGAGGGGGAUAACUACUGGAAACGGUAGCUAAUACCGCAUACCAUCAGAUGUGCCCAGAUGGGUUUAGCUAGUAGGUGGGGUAAGGGCUCACCUGGGCGGCGAUCCCUAGCUGGUCUGAGAGGAUGACCAGCAAAUAUGGAACGGAUACACGGGCCAGACUCCUACGUGAGGCAGAAGUGGGGAAUAUUGCACAAUGGGCGCAAGCCUGAUGCAGCCAUGCCGCGUGUGUGAAGAAGGCCUUCGGGUUGUAAAGCACGUUCAGCGGGGAGGCGUUACCCGCAGAAGAAGCACCGGCUAACUCCGUGCCAGCAGCCGCGGUAAUUC
rnacentral:rRNA from 1 species